GAUGAACGCUGGCGGCGUGCCUAAUACAUGCAAGUCGAGCGAACAGACGAGGAGCUUGCUCCUCUGACGUUAGCGGCGGACGGGUGAGUAACACGUGGAUAACCUACCUAUAAGACUUGGAUAACUUCGGGAAACCGGAGCUAAUACCGGAUAAUAUAUUGAACCUCAUGGUUCAAUAGUGAAAGACGGUUUGGCUGUCACUGAGAGAUGGAUCCGCGCCGCAUGAGCUAGUUGGUAAGGUAGCGGCGUACCAAGGCAACGAUGCGUAGCCGACCUGAGAGGGUGAUCGGCCACACUGAGACUGAAACACGGUCCAGACUCCUACGGGAGGCAGCGGUAGGGACUGUUCCGAAAUGGGCGAAAGACUGCAGGAGCAGCGCCGCGUGAGUGCUGAAGGGCUUCGGAUCGUAAAACUCUGUUAUUAGGGAAGAACAAAUGUGUAAGUAACUAUGCACGUCUUGACGGUACCUAAUCAGAAAGCCACGGCUAACUACGUG
rnacentral:rRNA from 1 species